rnacentral:rRNA from 1 species
UACGUAGGGCGCAAGCGUUGUCCGGAAUUAUUGGGCGUAAAGAGCUCGUAGGCGGUCUGUUGCGUCCGCUGUGAAAACUCGGGGCUUAACCCCGAGCCUGCAGUGGAUACGGGCAGACUAGAGGUAGGUAGGGGAGACUGGAAUUCCUGGUGUAGCGGUGAAAUGCGCAGAUAUCAGGAGGAACACCGGUGGCGAAGGCGGGUCUCUGGGCCGAAAUUGACGCUGAGGAGCGAAAGCGUGGGGAGCGAACAGG